ensembl:snRNA U7 U7 small nuclear RNA
GAGUGUUACAGCUCUUUUAGAAUUUGUCUAGCAGGUUUUCUGGCUUUAGCCGGAAAACCCUU